rnacentral:rRNA from 1 species
CACGCCCUAAACGAUGGAUACUCGACAUCAGCGAUACACUGUUGGUGUCUGAGCGAAAGCAUUAAGUAUCCCACCUGGGAAGUACGACCGCAAGGUUGAAACUCAAAGGAAUUGACGGGG